rnacentral:rRNA from 1 species
AUGGGGGCCUCCUACCUCGCAUCAACCAUAAUGUUGGACGUCUCUCUUGCCCCGUCACUCGUCGCCGUCCUCCACACCUUCUACGGAGCAACUAGCAACAUCUAUGCUAUCAACGGCACCUUCCAGGCCAACAUUGAACACCUCCCAGCAACGGUCCCGAGGAAUGCCUCCUCCUCUCGAGUGCUCUUAGCCACCGCCGCGGUCGGACUCUCUGGGCUAGUCAAAUGUACAUUGUAUCUGGCACUAACCGACUACCGAACAUGCCUGUCCUAUGUACUCGACUGCGAGGUUAACCACUUCUGCAGCGGGGCGCGGAGAUGCAUGGUCAAUCUCGUUGGAUGGCAGGCGCGGCGAGCACGCCAUGGCUGCCGGAAAGCAGGACGACGCGAUGUGGUACCCGAUUUCGAUCAGCCAGAUUGGGGACGCGAUUCGGGUGGACGAUUUGGCCGGGGCGGCGCCUCCGCCACCACCGCCGCCGCCCCCUUCCCGCUGUCUGCUGGUGAUGAUGGGAGUGGUGACCGUCGAGAUGCAAAUGGGGGCCCGCCGGCGCCGCCAUCCAGGGCCUCGCCGGAUUCUUCUUCGGCGAACUCGGCCCCUUCGCCGCCACAGCCGCAGCAGGGUGGUGGAUUUCGAAACCACGUGGCCGGUCAGCGGGACCAGGUGGACUGUACGGGGACUGUUUCGGAUGAUACGGCUGACGCGACCCUGAUCGUGGGUGAGGUCAGCGUGGAACGCCCGUUGGUGGUGGAGCGCGCCCUAGGCGAUUCGAUAGUCAUGGAGGCCCCGUCAGUGGAAAGCAGAGUCGGCCCCACUGGGCACCAGAGUGGGGGCCGAGCAGGCUAUGUGCCAAGGCUGCUGGUUCGUGAGGAUUCGGUGGCUUCGAUCAACCAACUGGAUGGUGGGAUUGUGCCAUCUCUGGCGAUGGUUGGGCAGACAGCGCUGGGCCAGGCUGGGUCGCGUCCGAUGGUGGGGCCUAGCAGCCCUGUGGGCACUACAGAUUCGCCUGGGAUCAGAGUGGGAGAUUGGGAACUGCGCCUCUCCCAUGUGGAGGAAAGCCCGCUGAGGGGGCCAUGCGCCCCGACCGAGGAGGAUUUUGCCAGCGACAACUGUGGCAGUUCCGUACUGGUCGAUUUGCCGGGGUAUUCAGAAUCUGCGGAGGGACUAGUGGGGCCCGAGCUGCAUGUGGAUGGGACGCCGCCAUGCACGGGAGGCGCUGGAUGGUUUUUGGUUAGCCUUUCUGAGCAUCUUGAGGAAACAAAUAUGUCGUCCGCCCUUGCCGUGCCGGACCCGUCUCCUGAAGAUAGGGCGGCCCAGCUUUGCAAUGACCUCAGGGGCAACAUCACGCCGAUCCUGGAGCAGCCCACAUCCAGAGGCAUUGCGCUAGUAGCUGCGUGGGUGCCGCGCGGGCUAACUAUGGGGUCCGGUUCCAAGGCUGCUUCAAGGAAGUCGACGGCGUCUUCGUCGUCGUGGAGGUCACUCCUCGACGGUUGCCUCGGCUGGACCAUGGCGGCUGGGGAGAACGUCCCAGCAAGCGGCGGGUUGGCGGAGCAGCCACCGCCGAUCGUCAGGAACAACGACCUGUCGCUGGCGGCGUCCAACUCCAACCUGCACGCCUUCACGUUCGCGGAGCUGUGCGCGGCAACCGAGGGGUUCGCCUGCUGCAACCAAAUCGGCAGCGGCGAGUUCGGGACGGCGUACAGGGGAUUCAUCGAGGACGGUGUCCGGCCGGGGCUCCCGGCGCAGCCCGUCGCCGUCAAGCGGACACGGUGGCGGGUCGACAACUGCGUCGAGGGAAUGGUGAAGGAGGCGAUGUUCCUCGGGGAGCUGCAGCUGCGGCAUCCCUGCCUGGUGAGGAUGAUCGAUCGGCUACUGCUGCGAGGAGGAGCACAGGCUCCUCGUCUACGAGCUCAUGGCCCAUGGCAGCUUGGACGACUACUUCUUCAAGCCUUUUUACCGUCCCGUGCUGCCAUGGUCAACCAGACUAAGCAUCGUCUUAGCUACGGCGAAAGGGCUGGUGUCCCUCCACGGCGCGGAGAAGCCAUUGAUCUGCGGCGAAUUCAAUGCCUCCGACAUCCUACUGGACUCGAUCUCGCUCUCGGCCUGAGGCUUGACACGAGAGCGAGCGACGGCUCGGUCACCACCACGCGCUCGCGCCUAGGAACACCGCACGGCAGCGCACCGGAGUACGUCAUGUCCGGCAGUCUCACCCCGAAAUGCGACGUGUACAGCUUCGGGGUGGUGUUGUUGGAGAUUCUGAUCACAGGGAUGAAGUGGGUAGACAUGAAAAGACCCGUCAAGGAGGAGCGAGACCUGCUGGAGUACGCGCGGCCGAAUCUCGAAGACCCGGUUAAACUGGCAGGGAUCAUGGAUAAAGCAUUGAAGGGCAUCUACCCAGUGGCAGCCGCACACAAGGCUGCCCUGGUCACAUACAAGUGUCUCCAUGUCAAACCCGAGGACAGGCCAGACAUGUCGGACGUCGUGAAGGCGCUCGAUCUGCUUACCGACGCCGCCAUCAAGGAGGAUCAGUUGCCGGUGCCGGCGCCUGUGUCGCCCAACUCCAACCUGCACAGGUUCACCUUUGCGGAGCUGAGCGCCGCGACCGGAGGGUUCGCCUCAAGAAACAAAAUCGGCAGCGGCAGUUUCGGGACGGUGUACAGGGGAUCCCUCGAGGACGGCAUCCGGCUGGGACUCCCGGCGCAGCCAGUCGCCGUCAAGAGAGUGCGUGCUGACGACUACCACUCCGAGGAACAUCUGAAAGAUUCGAUAUUCCUGGGGGAGCUGCAGCCGCGGCAGCCGAGCCUGGUGAAGAUGAUCGGCUACUGCUACGAGGGGCUGCACAGGCUUCUCGUCUACGAGCUAAUGGGCCAUGGCAGCUUGGCAAACUACCUCUCCAGUGAUAUUCGUGUUGUGUUGUCAUGGUCAACACGGUUAAGCAUUGCUCUAGCUACCGCGAAAGGGUUGUUGUCCCUCCAUGGUGAAGAGAAGCGACUGAUCUCCGUCAAAUUUAACGCCUCCAACAUCUUACUAGACUCGGUGAUCAUUCUUCCUCUUUUUUAG